rnacentral:lncRNA from 1 species
GAAGAUCAGCCUUCCAUGGAGUCGUGGGCGACAGUAGCAGUGGCACAGCAGCGGGCUCCCAUUUCUUCCUUCUCUUCCUCCCUUCCCUGAAUCUCUCCUUCCUUCUCUAGCAUUUUAUUUUUUUAUUUUCCUUCCCGUGGGAAGUUCUUCCCACUAUAUCCAAAAAAACUCUCUUUCCUUUCACUUCUGUGGGAACUCCCUCCCAAACGAGAGAUGGUUCCAAGGAAGAGAAGAACUCUUCCUUUUAUAGCUUUCACCAGCCCCCUCUCCUCCUCCUCUCUCCUUCUUUCUUCUGUGGCUGAUCCGAAUGGAGGAUAAGCUCGUGGAGACCUUAUCUCUUCCAUGAAUGAUGGGAGAUGUUGCCGCAUCUGAUCUGGUUGUUGGAGUAAAUCCUGUUGAUGUGAAUCCAAGGAAUGAAGGAGCCGAGCUUCUUCAACAUGUGGGAGGUUCCUUGAAUGCGGCUGGGAGAAGUGGAUGAUGCUGGGAGAUUUCCAUGAAUCGCGAAUGGGAGCUUCUAGUCCGUGAGUUCGGGAGGAUGAGGAUGAGUUCGGUGGGUGAUGAAGAUGAACUCCUGGAUUUAUUUCGCUGAGGGAAGAUCUCGGAAGAUCAUGCAGAGGAUUUGGUUCUGUUUCUUAACAGAGCCCUGUCUGCUGGAACUAGGUGCUUGGGAGGAGCUUGGCACUUAUCUGUGGGAAUGGAAGUGGUUGUGGCUACGGCUGAGAGGUGAUGCCAGAAGAAUCGGGAAGAUAAGGAACUUGGCUUUGUUCCGAAACAGGGGAUUUGAUGCGAGGCUGGAUUCGUGAGCUGAGAAGAAGUCGGGAUAAGCUUGAGAACUAGC